AAAAGUAUGUUUGAGAAUGAUCAUUCCCUACCUUGUAGACACUUGUAAAAACAUCUGUUAGGUCACCAUAUGCGGGUUGAGCACAAAUGGUUUCUUGCCAUAUUUGAAACUUCUAUUUGUGUUAAAAACCCAAUGAUCACUUUUAAUGUGAGCCAAAUCCAAGGAAUAUGUGCAUAAAACUAAUUUUCUUUCGGCCACUGGACCAAUUAAUAUAUCUAUAACAGGUCCUGAACCGAAGGCAGGACAAUUAUUUGAGGCCC
rnacentral:misc_RNA from 1 species